GUUUUCAUAGGCCUUAGGAAGCUCCUAGGAGAAGAAUUGGUAAAUACCCAACUUUUUCCCAGGUAAUAUCCAGUACUUAUUGUUCUGUUCCUCAAGUGUUGACUCUAAAAAUUAAUGUAUAAGCAAUAAGCCUCUCUGUGGUUUCUGGAUUCUAAUAAGAGAGAUACAUCUGACAGAGAUUUUUUAAAAACCUGCUGAUUCAAGCCAUACAUUUGAAGAACACAAAUGGAAGACAUCCUAGUGGAUAUUUUUUUUAAAUUUCAUGGAGUAGUGA